rnacentral:rRNA from 1 species
CCUACGGGUGGCAGCAGUGAGGAAUAUUGGUCAAUGGCCGAGAGGCUGAACCAGCCAAGUCGCGUGAGGGAAGACGGCCCUACGGGUUUUAAACCUCUUUUGUCGGGGAGCAAAGCGAGUCACGUGUGACUCAUUGAGAGUACCCGGAGAAACAGCAUCGGCUAAGUCCGUGCCAGCAGCCGCGGUAAUACGGGGGAUGCGAGCGUUAUCCGGAUUUGUUGGGUUAAAAGGGUGCGCAGGCGGAGUUGCAAGUCAGCGGUAAAAUUGCGGGGCUCAACCCCGUACUGCCGUUGAAACUGCAUCACUUGAGUGCGCGAGAAGUAUGCGGAAUGCGUGGUGUAGCGGUGAAAUGCAUAGAUAUCACGCAGAACUCCGAUUGCGAAGGCAGCAUACCGGCGCUCAACUGACGCUCAUGCACGAAAGCGUGGGUAUCGAACAGGAUUAGAUACCCCAGUAGUC